rnacentral:rRNA from 1 species
AUUGAACGCUGGCGGCAGGCCUAACACAUGCAAGUCGAGCGGAGCGGCGGACGGGGGAGUAAUGCCUAGGAAUCUGCCUGGUAGUGGGGGAUAAAUUCCGGAAACGGGCGCUAUUACAGAAUACUAUCAGUUGAGCUUAGGUCGGAUUAGCUAGUUGGUGGGGUAAAGGCCUACCAAGCCGACGAUCCGUAACUGGUCUGAGAGGAUGAUCAGUCACACUGGAACUGAGACACGGUCCAGACUCCUACGGGAGGCAGCAGUGGGGAAUAUUGGACAAUGGGCGAAAGCCUGAUCCAGCCAUGCCGCGUGUGUGAAGAAGGUCUUCGGAUUGUAAAGCACUGUAAGUAGGGAGGCGUUACCAACAGAAUAAGCACCGGCUAACUUCGUGCCAGCCGCCGCGGUAAUUC